GUGGUCACAACAUUAUACGUUUUUUGUUGAUGAAGGUGAUGAUCAGUGAUGGUGAUGAUGAUGGUUGAUGUAUGUGAUGGUGGUGGUUCAGAUUCGGUAAACUUCGGAAUUUUAUAUCGGAAAUUACCGAAUACACUCAUAAUUUAUAAUGCUCCGCAAACAAAUUGAAACAGUUGUUGAAGUCAUGUUAUCAAGGCAAUUCGAUUGAAAAACCAGGAAAAAAAACGCCUGCUAUUGUCUGCUAAUUGGAGAUAUAAUUUUAUUAUUUAAGG
rnacentral:lncRNA from 1 species